rnacentral:rRNA from 1 species
CUACGGGAGGCUCCAGUGGGGAAUAUUGCACAAUGGAGGAAACUCUGAUGCAGCAACGCUGCGUGGAGGAUGACACUUUUCGGAGCGUAAACUCCUUUUAUAUAGGAAGAAGAUGACGGUACUAUAUGAAUAAGCGCCCGCUAACUCCGUGCCAGCAGCCGCGGUAAUACGGAGGGCGCAAGCGUUAAUCGGAAUCACUGGGCGUAAAGAGCGUGUAGGCGGAUUAAAAAGUCAGAAGUGAAAUCCUAUAGCUUAACUAUAGAACUGCUUCUGAAACUCUUAAUCUAGAAUAUGGGAGAGGUAGAUGGAAUUUCUGGUGUAGGGGUAAAAUCCGUAGAGAUCAGAAGGAAUACCGAUUGCGAAGGCGAUCUACUAGAACAUUAUUGACGCUGAGACGCGAAAGCGUGGGGAGCAAACAGGAUUAGAUACCCUCGUAGUC